AUGAACUAUCAAUGACAGACAUAUCAAUAUCACGGUUUUCACUUUCAGAGAUUUUCUCAAAACCCAAUUCAACCUGAUAAGUACACGUGCAGGUCUCUCCUGUUUCCUUCAAUUUAACCUACAUCUUAUAAUCUUCAUUCAACAUCUGAGAUCUAUUUGAACAAACUACCUUACUGGAUUGUGUUUGUCUCGAGUACAGCUGCACUCGAACAAUUAGAAGUAGUGAACUGAUGGGGAAGCAGCCAAGCCUCCAAGUUAGCCAGAAAUAUAAAGUUAACU
rnacentral:lncRNA from 1 species